AAGAAAGUGGCAGAAUGGCUAUGCGAUUGGCUUGAAACCAGUCUACGGGGGUUCGAAUCCUUCCUUUCUC
rnacentral:tRNA from 1 species